rnacentral:rRNA from 1 species
AUUGAACGCUGGCGGCAUGCCUUACACAUGCAAGUCGAAUGGCAGCACGGGAGCAAUCCUGGUGGCGAGUGGCGAACGGGUGAGUAAUAUAUCGGAACGUGCCCAGUCGUGGGGGAUAACGCAGCGAAAGCUGUGCUAAUACCGCAUACGAUCUACGGAUGAAAGCGGGGGAUCGCAAGACCUCGCGCGAUUGGAGCGGCCGAUAUCAGAUUAGCUAGUUGGUGGGGUAAAGGGCCACCAAGGCGACGAUCUGUAGCUGGUCUGAGAGGACGACCACCCACACUGGAACUGAGACACGGUCCAGACUCCUAUGGGAGGAAGCAGUGGGGAAUUUUGGACAAUGGGCGCAAGCCUGAUCCAGCAAUGCCGCGUGCAGGAUGAAGGCCUUCGGGUUGUAAACUGCUUUUGUACGUAACGAAACGGCCCUUUCUAAUACAGGGGGCUAAUGACGGUACCGUAAGAAUAAGCACCGGCUAACUACGUGCCAGCCGCCGCGGUAA